rnacentral:lncRNA from 1 species
AUGACUUUAAGCAGGUUUGACUGUAAUUUCUAAUAAUUUCAUUUCUGUUCCAUAAAGAAGAAGAUGUUUCUCGAUAAAAAUUUAGAAGGAAAACUGAAAUUCGACUGGCUAUUUACACUCAAAAGUAUAGGUAAUUCAUGACCUUUAAAUGUCGGUUACAGCAGUCAUUCAUUAUUGUUCAUUUCCUCUAAUAAGAAUAACACGCGUUCAGUUUUUUUGAUAUUACAAACAGGAUCAAAACUUUU